rnacentral:misc_RNA from 1 species
UACGAAGGGUGCAAGCGUUAAUCGGAAUUACUGGGCGUAAAGCGUGCGUAGGUGGUUGUUUAAGUCUGUCGUGAAAGCCCUGGGCUCAACCUGGGAAUGGCGAUGGAUACUGGGCGACUGGAGUGCGGUAGAGGAUGGCGGAAUUCCCGGUGUAGCGGUGAAAUGCGUAGAGAUCGGGAGGAACAUCCGUGGCGAAGGCGGCCAUCUGGACCAGCACUGACACUGAGGCACGAAAGCGUGGGGAGCGAACAGG